rnacentral:rRNA from 1 species
GGAAUAUUGGUCAAUGGACGCAAGUCUGAACCAGCUAUGCCGCGUGAAGGAUUAAGGUCCUCUGGAUUGUAAACUUCUUUUAUCUGGGACGAAAAAAGGUCUUUCUAGAUCACUUGACGGUACCAGAUGAAUAAGCACCGGCUAACUCCGUGCCAGCAGCCGCGGUAAUACGGAGGGUGCAAGCGUUAUCCGGAUUCACUGGGUUUAAAGGGUGCGUAGGCGGGCAGGUAAGUCAGUGGUGAAAUCCUGGAGCUCAACUCCAGAACUGCCAUUGAUACUAUCUGUCUUGAAUAUUGUGGAGGUAAGCGGUAUAUGUCAUGUAGCGGUGAAAUGCUUAGAUAUGACAUAGAACACCCAUUGCGAAGGCAGCUUACUACGCAUAUAUUGACGCUGAGGCACGAAAGCGUGGGGAUCAAACAGGAUUAGAUACCCUGGUAGUCCACGCCCUAAACGAUGGAUACUCGACAUACGCGAUACACUGUGUGUGUCUGAGCGAAAGCAUUAAGUAUCCCACCUGGGAAGUACGUUCGCAAGAAUGAAACUCAAAGGAAUUGACGG